rnacentral:lncRNA from 1 species
GCAAAGAAUUAUUAAUUAUUGAAAGAAAAUAUUAUGGUAUAUUAAUAAUUUAUUACUAUAUUAUAAUUAAAUAAAUUAAACACACUCAUCAUCAUCAUCCAGAUUAUCUCUCUCUCUCUAACUUAGCACCAUCAUCACUAUUCAUCAUCUUCCUCAUCCAAGUGCAGAAAAUCCAGAUAAUAAAAACACUAGCAAUCAACAACCAAUAAGUGAUGGAAUAGAAAUAUGGGAUACUUUUUUCUCUUUGGCACUAAUAAACAAGAUCAAAAUACAAAAAAAAAAACCGAAAAACAGAGAUGACCACCCCAGAUUUGAAAUCCCCACCCCAGAUUUCCGACAAAAAGGAAGUAGAAACCAAUCAUUCUUCAUCUCCAUUCCCACCAAGUGGUUACCAUCACCAUCAACUACAUCCACCAGUACAACCACUUCUCAUCUUGUCCAAUCUAAACAAAAUCAUGACUAGAGGCGAAGAACAGAGAUGACCCAUAUGAUUGAGGCUAGAGGGAGGCUGCGACCGAAGAUGAAGAACAGAGAUGACCCAUAUGAACAGAGAUGCUCAAUCUUUUUUUGCACUUUUUCUUCUAGUUAGGGUUAGAGAGAAGAUGAAGAUGAUGAAUGUUGUAUUUUGAGUAUUAAUUUGGGGGUUAAAUUAUAUUAACUGCACAUAAGCAUGUGAGCUUUUUAAUUGCACUUUUU